CUAGGACUUGGCUCAUUACCGCCCUGCAGCCCCCACCCUGCCUGCCCCGCCCCCACUGGUCCGGUUCCCCAUUUUGGAGUGGUUAAGAGGAAGGUGGAAGACACCGUGUGUGUUUCAAGUCACCUCCAUGUUCCCAGGGCCUGGCAUCCACAAGGUGCUCGGACCUCACCCUGCUCUGGACUGUCGUGUCACUGAGGGUGAAGACCUCGACCAUCACUGCCCAGCCCACUGUUGUUGGCGACAGAGGGUGACAAAGCAAGACUGAGGACCCCCAGCCUUCCCCACCCCCUCCCCGCUCUGCCUGCCUGUCUGCCCUGUUCAGCUCCCUCCCGGGCCUUUGCACCUCCCCAUUUGUGCAGGUGGUGAAAGUGGGCACCCGGGCCUUCCUCCUGCCUGUCACAGAAGUCCCUGUCCCCUGCAAGUUUCCAGCCCAGAACGAGGACCGGCUGGAGACCGAGGAAGGCGCAGGUUUGUGCAGACAGAUCAGACUGCAGCCCAUGCCCACCACUGGACACUCACAGCCGCCUGUGGCCUCAGGCGGCAGAACCCGCAUGUGACAUGCCCAGGUCUCAGGCGGCAGCUCUGCGGCUCCUUGCACUCUUAUACGCCUCUGUCGUCACCACUAGCUCAGCCAGAGAACGCCGUCCUCGGGGGAGAACUCCUGCGCCGCUUCCUGCUGGAUGCUUGAAUCGCCGUAGAUCAGCUCUGCCUGCUCUUGAACUUUGUCUAAAUGGAACCGUCCAGCACACCCUCUUUUGCGUCUGGCUUCGUUUGCUCGGUGUGGCGGUUGUGAGAUUGCUCAGGGCUGGUGCGGGCAGCUGUGGUGUGCCCUUUUUCCUUGCCGAGUAGCGCCCUGCCGGAGGCUCUGCCACGAUCAGCUGCUGAUAGGCAUGCGGUGGUAGACAUGCCACAGAGGGACAGGCCACCGCACCUCUCCGGGCUCGGACCUGGGACUUCACCUUGGCAGUUGACGGUGGGCCGUCGUGGGAGGAUUCCCAGCACGGAAAAGGGCAAGCCGACGGAUCGCUGUGCUCACUGUCUAGACGUCAGAAAGUCCCGGCGAAAUUGUUAAUUCAAAUGAAACGUAAAAUUGUGUUACUGGGUAGCUGUUCCACUGUGCAUAGCAUAGAGAAUUGAGGUGUUACUCGUGGAGAUAUAUGAAAAUGUUCACCUGCAGAACCACGUUUGUUCGUGUUAGCAUCUGUAAGUUGACGACGGGAGCAGAGGUCACCAAAAGAGAAAAAUCAUCCCUUGAGUAUCACUUGGCCGUGCAGACUUUACUGGCGAGAAUCAAGUGCAUUUGAUCAUGGUUUGAAAAUUAGGUUUGGGCUUUGGGGCGAUUCUUGGAGGAGCAGAAACGGAUAGCCAGAGAGGGGUCUAUUUUUUUAUUUUGGAAGUAACUCAUGCUUUCAGAAAGGUGACCUGUCCUGAAUGCACAGCUCGCCCAGUUCUUACCAGCUAAUCACAAGCACCUAACUAGUCCCCAGACGAAAACACAAAACACCAUGAGGAGCUCCGCCAGCCCCUUGGCCGCGGAGUCACCGCCUGCCCCAGGGGUAACUGCCUUCUUGACUGCUAAUCCUGUGGGUGUUCCCUGUUUUUGACAUAAGGUGUCUACAUUAUUUUGUGUCUGGCUUCUUUUGCCUAAUGUCAUAUAGGUGAGACUUGUCCACACUGGUGUGGGGUGGUGGUGGUCAGUUCUCAUUGCUAUAUAGUGUUCAGUCGUGCAAAUAUUCUGCAGCUUGUUGAUUCCAUCGGUGGUGGACAUUGGAGUCAUUUCCAGGAGCCCUGGAAAGGCAGGCUGGUCCAUGGCUGCCCAGCCCAGAGCCCCACCGGGGCCCCUCCCGCCUGAGAUCAGCCCCUUCUUCUGCCCGUCCCACAUGGCUGCAGUGAGGGGACGACCCUGCAGUGGCAGGGUUACUCCAGCCAAAUGGGGGUGCGCCCCCCACCGCCAGCUGCAAUCACAGACACGACGGGAAGGAGACUCACUCCCAGGCCAGGAAGCCCAGUGGGCGGCGCUGCCCACCCUACGCCCACCGUGCUCCAGUCUACAGCCGUGGGAGGGGAGGCCAGGGGCUGCCCCACAGUCCAGCUCCUCCCCACUGCCUGGAUGAGCAUCACAGAAGGGCUACCUGGGACCUCAUACUCUGCUAUCACCCACGUGAGCCCCUGGUAACUUUGGAACAAGUGGCCCUGGGCCUGGCCUAUCCCGCAGCCAUCCCAACCCUGGGACCCCCUCCUGGAGGGCAGCUGGCUUCUGCUCCCCUGAAGGCACUUGUCCCAUCCAGGAUACAGUGCUCUCUGAUUGCAUGCCGGGAAGUGCAUGAAUAAAGGCCAGGAAGCAAGGACACUCACACCUUUCCUGGAGAAAACGGGGCCGGUUCUGGCUUCAACGCCAGGGUGUCCAUGUGUCUUUGCUGACAAAGAGGAUGAUCAAAGCCACAUAGGUCGGGGUGAGGGAUCCCAAACGGCAGGGAGCACUUGGAACUGGAGCCCUGGCCACACAGCUGGAGCCCCAGGAGCACCACUCUUGUUGCAGGUGGGGGUUGGGAAGUCACUGUGCUGUCCUGUGACUCAGUUUCCCAUCUGCAAGCUGGCAUCUCCAGGGCACCCAGCAAGUGCUCCUUAGGGGAGAGCCUGCUGUUUGAGGGACAUCCGGAGUGCACCACAUGAUGGCCCAGGCCCCGCGCUCCCUGCGCUGAGGCUGCUCUGGGGGGCCAGGUGGAAGCACCCUCCGUGCUCUCCGUGGCUCCUCCAGGGCCCUGCAAGAUCUUGAAGCUGGGGGACCCCAGAGUGCCUGCCCGAGCCAGGCAGAGGGGGCAGGGUUGUUUCUGUUUGUGUCUUAGCUUCGAGUCCCUCGGUCUCUAGCUGUAGGCUGGGAGAGGGAGGGCCUUGGGCGAGUGGCCCUCAGCAGCCCGGGGCUGUGGGUUCCACAGGCCAGCAUCUCAGGUGCGUCCUCGCCCCUUGGUGUGACGUGUCACGUGGGGUCACCCUUGGUAAGGUCUCAGUGGCGUGGCUGAGCGAGGCCUGGGGGCGGGAAGGCCAGAACACGUGUCAGUCGCAGUCAGGAUGAAUCCCUGGCCUUUCUCUGUCAGUGGCCGUCCUGUCCCCUGCACGUCUGUGACGGACGUGCUCUGUGAGCCAAAA